rnacentral:lncRNA from 13 species
CUAUCUCUUUCUUUGCAUAGGGAAGUUGACUAAACAAGAGGGCUCUUUGGAGCACUGAUAUGCAGCAAGUCAGCUUGGGUCUCUCCAGACAGAGAAAAGUAACGUAAAACAAAACUAUUCAAAAAGAACAUGAAGUGAAGUGCUGGUGGCCAGAAGAAAGACAUCUGAGUACAACCACCAUGGGUUACUGACAGACCAAAAUAUCCUGACAACUCCCGAAUGCCGGAAGGAGAGAAUGGGUU